CGAGCGGGCGUAGCAAUACGUCAGCGGCAGACGGGUGAGUAACGCGUGGGAACGUACCUUUUGGUUCGGAACAACACAGGGAAACUUGUGCUAAUACCGGAUAAGCCCUUACGGGGAAAGAUUUAUCGCCGAAAGAUCGGCCCGCGUCUGAUUAGCUAGUUGGUGAGGUAAUGGCUCACCAAGGCGACGAUCAGUAGCUGGUCUGAGAGGAUGAUCAGCCACAUUGGGACUGAGACACGGCCCAAACUCCUACGGGAGGCAGCAGUGGGGAAUAUUGGACAAUGGGCGCAAGCCUGAUCCAGCCAUGCCGCGUGAGUGAUGAAGGCCCUAGGGUUGUAAAGCUCUUUUGUGCGGGAAGAUAAUGACGGUACCGCAAGAAUAAGCCCCGGCUAACUUCGUGCCAGCAGCCGCGGUAAUACGAAGGGGGCUAGCGUUGCUCGGAAUCACUGGGCGUAAAGGGUGCGUAGGCGGGUCUUUAAGUCAGGGGUGAA
rnacentral:rRNA from 1 species